rnacentral:piRNA from 1 species
UGUACACACGGUCUUCUGCUCUUGAAGC